AUUGAACGCUGGCGGCAGGCUUAACACAUGCAAGUCGAGCGGAAACGAUGAUUGCUUGCAAUCAGGCGUCGAGCGGCGGACGGGUGAGUAAUGCUUGGGAAUAUGCCUAGAGGUGGGGGACAACAGUUGGAAACGACUGCUAAUACCGCAUAAUGUCUACGGACCAAAGGAGGGGACCUUCGGGCCUUUCGCCUUUAGAUUAGCCCAAGUGAGAUUAGCUAGUUGGUGGGGUAAAGGCCUACCAAGGCGACGAUCUCUAGCUGGUUUGAGAGGAUGAUCAGCCACACUGGGACUGAGACACGGCCCAGACUCCUACGGGGGGCAGCAGUGGGGAAUAUUGCACAAUGGGGGAAACCCUGAUGCAGCCAUGCCGCGUGUGUGAAGAAGGCCUUCGGGUUGUAAAGCACUUUCAGUAGGGAGGAAAGGUUAGUAGCUAAUAUCUGCUAGCUGUGACGUUACCUACAGAAGAAGCACCGGCUAACUCCGU
rnacentral:rRNA from 1 species